CUUUUAUAUGGUUUUAUAAGGGAAGCUGAGCAAGCCUGUCGCCAUUAUCACGAAGACCAGUAAUGACAGUAUAUUGACAGGAAAAAAACAGAUAAAUAAUAAAAUGCCUUUGGUUAGGAAAAGAGGCAGACAUUAUGCCCAUGUUACAUAUGAAAGAGGUACAGAUGCCCUUAAAGUUUUUGAUGAAGUAAAGAGCAAGAUACUGUCCCAUCUGGCAGCAAUACUGUAUGACACUGUAUGACCAAUUCACAGACAAAUUGACAAAGAAUAACAAUAGAACACCAACAAUUCACAUAUGAGACGAUGUUUUAUGGUGAAUGGUUAUAGUAAUUUAGACAAGCAAAACAUGCAUUAAAGACUGUCAGUGUUGCUUGGAUUUUCUCCAUAUGAUGGAUUCUAUAGUCAGAGGGGAGAUGUGAAAAAAUCUUUAUUAAAGUCAAGUUACAUUAAAUGGGCUAUGUCACAGAUUUCAGUCAAAUUUUGCAUAUAUAGAACUCUGGCUCUAGUGGAAACCGAAAAAGUUAUGCAUUUAUCUCAUUUAUCAUUUGAAAUAUUUACUGAUUGAAAUCUUUCAAUAUGAGUGAACAUUUGUAUAGAAAGCCCUUAAAAUCGGCAAAAAUCAUCCAAAAUCUGUCUUAAAAUUCAUCAAAUCUCUAAUUCUUCUCCAUAGAUUUUUUUUUUAAAACUAUAUGACGUUGAUACAUAAAUUUCAGUUUUGAUUUUGCAAAACAAAUAUAAAUAAGGUCACGGAACAAAAAACAAAUACCGGUAUGUAACACAUAAACAAAUGACAACCACUGAAUUACAGGCACCUGACUUGGGACAGGCAACUACAAAGAGAAUGUGGAGGGGUUAAACAUGUUAGCAGAAUUCAAACCCUCCCCUAAUCUGGGACAGUGGUAUAAUAGUCCAUUUACUGUUCCUUGACCUUAAAUUAGAUUGAUAAUUCAAAUUGAAAACUCAAUUUUAGCACUGACCUUAAAAUAGAUUGAUAAUUCAAAUUGAAAAACUCAAUUUUAGCACUAACAGGUUGUUUUGCAUUUUAUUUAUUAAAAAUGUUAUAAUAGCCAUGAAACAAUGAUUUUAU